UGAGAUGUAUUGCGUUGUCCCCUCAUAUGUAACCUUUUCUUAAACUUGCUCGGAUGAUUCUCUUCUUUUCAGUAUAGUAGUGUAACAUUUUUGAGCAAAUGGAAUUGAUCUGGAAAUUGGAAUAGAACUCCGUUGAGUUGUUUAGCAUGUUUUAGGUGCUGUACUUUUAGUUAAAAAGGUAAAAAAUGGAGGAAUUUGAUUUCUCCUACUUGUCAAAAGCAAUCAAUUAUCUUCCUUGUAUCACAAUUAACACGGAAUUUAAGCAUGCAACUUUUUUUGAUCUCAUGGAAACAUUGCCAAAAGUGGACAAUGUUUUACCUUAGCUUUUCUUCUUUUUCCAAUUUUUUGUGUGCACGUGAUCGGGAAAAUUGAGUUGGACCGUAUCACCACAAUGUUUGUAUGCAACAUCGUACCAUGCCAAAGGCGAGGGCUAUAGUUAGGCUCAUGGAUUUCAGCCUCCCAAUUUGCCGAUGUAUGACGGAGGACACCCUUGUAGGUGCAACCUGCAUUUCCAAGGUAACCUUUGUCUCGCAUGCAACUUUUGCUAAACUUGCUUGGGUGAUUGUCUUCUUUACCAUUUAGUAGUGUGAUAUUUUGGAAAAAUGGGACAAAAUGCCGCGGAGAACUCGAGAGAAGACGUAAAAUAUCACCUACUCGAUAAAACUGAAAUUUCACCUCCAAAAUCCUGCGGAGGCGAAAACUUAUUAACUUGAUCCAAUUUCUUCUACGCUAUUUCACCAAAAUGCUGCGGAGAAUUAGAGAGAAAAUUAGUAAAUUCACCCAAUUUCUUCUACGCUCAUGAAAAAAUACACCUGAAAG
rnacentral:misc_RNA from 1 species